rnacentral:rRNA from 1 species
GCGACAGACGAGGAGCUUGCUCCUUUGACGUUAGCGGCGGACGGGUGAGUAACACGUGGGUAACCUACCUAUAAGACUGGGAUAACUUCGGGAAACCGGAGCUAAUACCGGAUAAUAUUUCGAACCGCAUGGUUCGAUAGUGAAAGAUGGCUCUGCUAUCACUUAUAGAUGGACCUGCGCCGUAUUAGCUAGUUGGUAAGGUAACGGCUUACCAAGGCAACGAUACGUAGCCGACCUGAGAGGGUGAUCGGCCACACUGGAACUGAGACACGGUCCAGACUCCUACGGGAGGCAGCAGUAGGGAAUCUUCCGCAAUGGGCGAAAGCCUGACGGAGCAACGCCGCGUGAGUGAUGAAGGUCUUCGGAUCGUAAAACUCUGUUAUUAGGGAAGAACAAACGUGUAAGUAACUGUGCACGUCUUGACGGUACCUAAUCAGAAAGCCACGGCUAACUACGUGCCAGCAGCCGCGGUAAUACGUAGGUGGCAAGCGUUAUCCGGAAUUAUUGGGCGUAAAGCGCGCGUAGGCGGUUUUUUAAGUCUGAUGUGAAAGCCCACGGCUCAACCGUGGAGGGUCAUUGGAAACUGGAAAACUUGAGUG